rnacentral:rRNA from 1 species
GACGAACGCUGGCGGCGUGCUUAACACAUGCAAGUCGAACGGUGAAAGGGAGCUUGCUCCCUGGAUCAGUGGCGAACGGGUGAGUAACACGUGGGCAACCUGCCCCAGACUUCGGGAUAACGCUUCGAAAGAGGUGCUAAUACCGGAUACGAACUCCUUGGGCAUCCUUGGAGUUGGAAAGUUUUUCGGUCUGGGAUGGGCCCGCGGCCUAUCAGCUUGUUGGUUGGGUAACGGCUCACCAAGGCGACGACGGGUAGCCGGCCUGAGAGGGCGACCGGCCACACUGGGACUGGGACACGGCCCAGACUCCUACGGGAGGCAGCAGUGGGGAAUAUUGCGCAAUGGGCGAAAGCCUGACGCAGCAACGCCGCGUGAGGGAUGACGGCAUUCGGGUUGUAAACCUCUUUCAGCAGGGAAGAAGCGAAAGUGACGGUACCUGCAGAAGAAGCACCGGCUAACUACGUGCCAGCCGCCGCAGUAAUAC